rnacentral:rRNA from 1 species
GAUGAACGCUGGCGGCGUGCCUAAUACAUGCAAGUCGAGCGAACAGACGAGGAGCUUGCUCCUCUGACGUUAGCGGCGGACGGGUGAGUAACACGUGGAUAACCUACCUAUAAGACUGGGAUAACUUCGGGAAACCGGAGCUAAUACCGGAUAAUAUAUUGAACCGCAUGGUUCAAUAGUGAAAGACGGUUUUGCUGUCACUUAUAGAUGGAUCCGCGCCGCAUUAGCUAGUUGGUAAGGUAACGGCUUACCAAGGCAACGAUGCGUAGCCGACCUGAGAGGGUGAUCGGCCACACUGGAACUGAGACACGGUCCAGACUCCUACGGGAGGCAGCAGUAGGGAAUCUUCCGCAAUGGGCGAAAGCUUGACGGAGCAACGCCGCGUGAGUGAUGAAGGUCUUCGGAUCGUAAAACUCUGUUAUUAGGGAAGAACAAAUGUGUAAGUAACGAUGCACGUCUUGACGGUACCUAAGCAGAAAGCCACGGCUAACUACGG